GACGAACGCGGCGGCGUGCCUAAUACAUGCAAGUAGAACGCACAGGAUGCACCGUAGUUUACUACACCGUAUUUCUUGAGUUGCGAACGGGUGAGUAAACGCGUAGGUAACCUGCCUGGUAGCGGGGGAUAACUAUUGGAAACGAUAGCUAAUACCGCAUAAGAACAUUUACUGCAUGGUAGAUGUUUAAAAGGUGCAAGAGCAUCACUACCAGAUGGACCUGCGUUGUAUUAGCUAGUUGGUGAGGUAACGGCUCACCAAGGCAACGAUACAUAGCCGACCUGAGAGGGUGAUCGGCCACACUGGGACUGAGACACGGCCCAGACUCCUACGGGAGGCAGCAGUAGGGAAUCUUCGGCAAUGGGGGAAACCCUGACCGAGCAACGCCGCGUGAGUGAAGAAGGUUUUCGGAUCGUAAAGCUCUGUUGUUAAGGAAGAACGUGUGUGAGAGUGGAAAGUUCACACAGUGACGGUACUUAACCAGAAAGGGACGGCUAACUACGUGCCAGCAGCCGCGGUAAUACGUAGGUCUCGAGCGUUGUCCGGAUUUAUUGGGCGUAAAGCGAGCGCAGGCGGUUAGAUAAGUCUGAAGUGAAAGGCAGUGGCUCAACCAUUGUAGGCUUUGGAAACUGUUUAACUUGAGUGCAGAAGGGGAGAGUGGAAUUCCAUGUGUAGCGGUGAAAUGCGUAGAUAUAUGGAGGAACACCGGUGGCGAAAGCGGCUCUCUGGUCUGUAACUGACGCUGAGGCUCGAAAGCGUGGGGAGCGAACAGG
rnacentral:rRNA from 1 species